rfam:Camelus ferus unplaced genomic scaffold scaffold595, whole genome shotgun sequence.
CCAAAGGCUCUUUUUAGAGCCACUUAAGCUAUCAUUUUGAGGGCUGU